rnacentral:rRNA from 1 species
GUGCCAGCAGCCGCGGUAAUACGAACUGUGCAAACGUUAUUCGGAAUCACUGGGCUUAAAGGGUGCGUAGGCGGCUGUCUAAGCAGGGUGUGAAAGCCCCCGGCUCAACCGGGGAAUUGCGUUCUGAACUGGACGGCUGGAGUGGGAUAGAGGUGUGCGGAACUUCCGGUGGAGCGGUGAAAUGUGUUGAUAUCGGAAGGAACGCCGGUGGCGAAAGCGGCACACUGGGUCUCAACUGACGCUGAGGCACGAAAGCCAGGGGAGCGAACGGGAUUAGAUACCCUAGUAGUCC